CUUAUGUUUCCAGCCAUCACUCACGAGCCCAUUUAUGAACUUUAACCCUAAACCAGUGUAUAUCUCCUCCCACUUAUAUAUCCCUCACAUUAUCAUUCCAAACUCUCUCAAAAAAACAAAAAUAAUUACUUCAAACUAAAACCCAAUGUUCAACACAAGAGUUCAUAUUGUCAUUAUCACUCUAAACCUUUUAUUCUUGUACGCUGGAGGGAGACUAAUACCACUGGAGAGUGUUCCAAGCUCGUCGAUGAUGCCUUUAUCAGUCGAAGACACGGUCAAAUUGAAUCCGAGGAAUCAGAUUUUUCAUGGGACACAAGUAAAGAGUUGUAUGCCUAAAGGGUUCCGACCAAGAUCCGCUCCGAGCCGGUUUGUAAAUUAUCAGCCUCUUGUUUCCAUUAAGUGUUCCUCAUCUAAAGUUACCUCCCGGUCCAAGAUAUCGCCUUGAUUAUUUUCUCUUCUAUUUUGAGAAUUUAAUUAUACAAAUAAGACUGAUGUGUUGAUUCUUUUGGUGUCUAUAUUUAUGAAGACGUAUGUAAUGCAAAAGUAUGUGUUAUUUUCUAUGCUUUUUUAUUCAAAUUUUUAGUUUUGGAUAACUCUUCUUUAUUGCUUUUAUUCAGGGUUGUUUUUGACCAAUUUCUGACUAAAUUCAUGGUCGAAAAUUGGACAGUUUUCUUGUAGUAGAAAAACAAGAAAAUGUUAAGUUUGUUACCUCAAGUUCCUAUGUAGUGCCGAAUAGAUGAUAACGCAGUUAUAUAGUUCGGAUUUUAUUUUUGGUUGACCAAAAUUUUCGGGGUUUUGGUACGUAGAUUUUUGAACUACAAACAAAAACAGGCUAAAUGAAUCAUUUUCCCACCGCCGAGAACCAAACUCCUGGUCUUGAGAGACUCUUCCUUUUGAAGUUACCCACUACAAAAAUCAAGCUACUAGCCUUGGAUAGGUCGAUAUAUUCAUUUUAUAGGAAAACCAAGAAUACCAAAUGAAGCAUUUUCUUAUAUUUUCUGUCUUUGCAUGGUGAAACUUGAAAGAAAGAAAAAAAAAAGAGAGCAGAAGAGUAAAUUGCUAAAUAGAGUGGCAAUGGAGGAGGAGUAUCAUGGAUCACGUGAACGAUUUCAAGGAAAAUGAUCGGAAAGAGGGAAAUAAUUGCAAAUUUGUGUAUGGGCCGUUUUACUUCUUCAAGCCCACUUAAAACUUGCCACCAAUUUCAACAAAACCAAAUAGUGUUUCCCAUUCAGAUAGUAAAUAGUUACUCAAAUAACGUUAACAUCGAGAAAAAAUGAAAAAAAAUCUGUAAGC
rnacentral:sRNA from 1 species